AGAAUCAACGCUGGCGGCGUGCCUAACACAUGCAAGUCGCACGAGAAAGGGACUUCGGUCCUGAGUAAAGUGGCGCACGGGUGAGUAACACGUGAAUCAUCUACCCUCGAGUGGGGAAUAACCUAGAGAAAUCUGGGCUAAUACCGCAUAAUACUUACGAGUCAAAGCAGCAAUGCGCUUGGGGAGGAGUUCGCGGCCGAUUAGCUAGUUGGCGGGGUAAUGGCCCACCAAGGCGAUGAUCGGUAUCCGACCUGAGAGGGCGCACGGACACACUGGAACUGAAACACGGUCCAGACUCCUACGGGAGGCAGCAGUGGGGAAUUUUGCGCAAUGGGGGAAACCCUGACGCAGCAACGCCGCGUGGAGGAUGAAGUAUCUUGGUACGUAAACUCCUUUCGAUGGGGAAGAUAAUGACGGUACCCAUAGAAGAAGCCCCGGCUAACUUCGCGCCAGCAGCCGC
rnacentral:rRNA from 1 species